GGGUAAGUUCCGACCCGCACGAAUCGUGUAACGAUCCGAGCACUGUCUCAACGUGGAUCUCGGCGAAGUUGUAGUUCCGGUGAAAAUGCCGGAUACCCGCAGUAGGACGGAAAGACCCCAUGAACCUUUACUGUAAUCUGAUAUUGGUAUUUGGUUAUUCAUGUGUAGGAUAGGUGGGAGACUGUGAAGCGGUCGCGUCAGCGGCUGUGGAGUCAUUGGUGAAAUACCACCCUUGUGUAGUUGAAUAUCUAACCGUAUUCCGUGAAACCGGUAACGGGACAGUGUCAGAGGGUCAGUUUG
rnacentral:rRNA from 1 species